AAUUCUUAGCAAUGGAUAUCUUGGCUCACGCAUUGAUGAAGAACAUAGCGAAAUGUGAUACUUGGUGUGAAUUGCAGAACCAUGCGAAUGGUCGAGUCUUUGAAUGCAAGUUGCCACGAAGCUUUUAGGCCAAGUGCAUGUCUCAUGCAUUGCAU
rnacentral:rRNA from 1 species